rnacentral:rRNA from 1 species
UACGGAGGGUGCAAACGUUGCUCGGAAUCAUUGGGCGUAAAGCGCACGUAGGCGGUCUUUUAAGUUGGGCGUGAAAUCCCUCGGCUUAACCAAGGAAGUGCACUCAAAACUGAAAGACUUGAAUACUGGAGAGGGUCGCAGAAUUCUCGGUGUAGAGGUGAAAUUCGUAGAUAUCGGGAGGAAUACCAGUGGCGAAGGCGGCGACCUGGUCAGAUAUUGACGCUGAGGUGCGAAAGCGUGGGGAGCAAACAGG